UAUUCAAAUGAGAACUUUGAAGGCCG
rnacentral:ncRNA from 3 species